rnacentral:lncRNA from 1 species
AGAGCGAGGUUGAGUUACAGCCCUGAGGAGGGUGGUUGCAGGUUCGGCUUCCGCCUUUGUACCUCUAGCCGCAUCUGUCUUUUUUCUCAUUUUGCGCUUCUUGUGUGAGGAAGACGUCGUAACUGUGUAGGGGAGGUUUCUGCGCCCCGGGGCGCUCGGGAGGAGACGGAAGAAGCGACUUUUCCUGCAGGGUAGCUAUGCUCGCCCGCGGAGGGCCCGCGGCCACAAAUCGCCGCCGGGAAGGUGUGGUUUCUGGUUUCGAGUCCGCCGCCCCCUUCAGAAGUAGCGCCAGAGGGGCGAGGGCGUCGUCUACGGUUCCAGCCAGGCGCUUACUUUCCUAGUUCGGGACCCGGCUUGGUCUGACCGUCUUUACCCUGCUGGAUGAUGAGGAAACUGAGGCACAGCGAGUUUAAAUACCUUUCUCAAAGUGAUGGGGCUUUGGUCUGAAGUCUCGCUGUAAAGGCCAUGUUCUUAACCAGUAGGCAUUGUCUGUGACAACUCUCCAUGUAUUCCAACAGGAUGGGGAUUUGGAUCAGAACAGGAGUUGCUGGGCCACCAUCUGCUGAGGAAGAAGAUGUGUCGCCUGUAACUGCUACUGGAAGUUUUCUCUGGGGAAGAGGGGGCUGCUGGCUGCAUGUGAGAAAAUUCCUCACCUCUGACCAACUUCAGAAUUGUUCAUCAGUGUGGUGAGUGUCCUCAUUGGGUUUUCAUCUGUGUGACUGGCAGGUUCCUUAUUAGUGGGAAUAGCAACAUGAAAGGUCCUCAAACAGGGUUGAAAUACUGACCUUACUUGCACAGGUGUGAGACCUGGGGAGGCCAUGUACCGCGGGCCCCCUUAGGGAUGGGCUUCAGACUUGACCCCUCACCAUUCUGGGGUCCAGCCACUACUUUGGGUUUUCUGGAGGCCCAGUGCUAACUCUGAGGUCUCCAUAGUCCAGCCUCUACCUGCCUUUAGUGAGACCCACACUUCCGGUAUCCUGCAGAGGAGGGUCUGUGUGGCUCUUCUGCUGCUUCUCUAAAUAAAUGACCACAAGCUGGGUGGUUUAAAACA